AACGAACGCUGGCGGCAUGCCUAACACAUGCAAGUCGAACGAGACCUUCGGGUCUAGUUGCGCACGGGUGCGUACCGCGUGGGAACCUGCCCUUAGGUUCGGAAUAACUCCCCGAAAGGUGUGCUAAUACCGGAUAAUGUCUUCGGGCCAAAGAUUUAUCGCCUUUGGAUGGGCCCGCGUUGGAUUAGCUAGUUGGUAGGGGAAAAGCCUACCAAGGCGACGAUCCAUAGCUGGUCAGAGAGAAUGGUCAGCCACACUGGGACUGAGACACGGCCCAGACUCCUGCGGGAGGAAGCAGUAGGGAAGAUUGGACAAUGGGCGAAUGACGGAGCAAGCAAUGCCGCGUGAGUGAUGAAGGCCUGAGGGUUGUAAAGCUCGUUUGCCCGGGAGGAUAAGGACAGUACCGGGAGAAUGAGCUCCGGCUAACUCCGUG
rnacentral:rRNA from 1 species